GAUUUACACAGGAGCAAAAAGGGAUUCUUGAUCAAAACCCUAAAUCACAAGAAAUUCAGCCAAAUCAAGGGAAAUGAAGCUAGGAAAUUGGGGCUUUAACUAAAAUCAUGAUCACCCAGCUUAGGGGAUCACAAGUUGACUCUAAACAAGCUAGGUAGGAGCUUGGAAAGGAACGGGUCAAACAGAUCAUGGAUGCGAAGAAUGUUUGCGCGGACGCGAGGUAAGUAAAGCUUACACCUAUUUUUUUAGCAUACGUAUUUAUUCUAUAGGUGAUAAAUACAUCAAUAGAUCAUGUUUGAAUUAUGGGUUCCUACACGAAACGAAAUGGGUCGGAACGAAUAAAAACGUUUAAAAACAUGAUUUGUAAUAAAUAUAAUUGUUUGGUCGUAUAGACCAAAUGGGUCAAAUGAUGGUGAUAACAUCAUAUGACCAUAUCGACUAAUGCUGGUUGUUAAGUCAUAUGUUUACAGGAACGAAUAGAAUUUUGGAUAAUUGCGUCAUCAUAGAAUAUUGAAUUAAUAAUAGCAAGGCAUAAACGUUGACUGGAGCCAGGUACAUUUUGGAUGCCGAAAGACGAUCAAGCUCAACGAAAAACCGAACACGAUAAAGAUACAUGCUUCCGCACAUUGCCUCGUCGUAAAUUUUAAACGACGAAUUCGAUUACGCUAUGUUGAAUAACUUAUGAUAUGUAAAGUUUUAACGAACCCGUAUUUUUCAGUGUAUUGAAAUCUUAAUUACCCGUAGAUUACACAUCUAAUUGUUGGUA